CCUACGGGUGGCAGCAGUGAGGGAUAUUGCGCAAUGGGCGAAAGCCUGACGCAGCGACGCCGCGUGGGCGAGGAAGGCCUUCGGGUUGUAAAGCCCUUUUGGCAGGGAAGAGCAAGGACUGUACCUGCAGAACAAGUCACGGCUAACUACGUGCCAGCAGCCGCGGUAAUACGUAGGUGGCCAGCGUUAUCCGGAUUCACUGGGCGUAAAGAGCGCGUAGGCGGUGUGCUAAGUUGGACGUGAAAGCCCCCGGCUUAACCGGGGGAGGUCGUCCAAUACUGGUGCACUUGAGGGUGGACGGGGAAAGCGGAAUUCCCGGUGUAGGGGUGAAAUGCGUAGAUAUUGGGAGGAACACCGGUGGCGAAGGCGGCUCUCUGGACCGAUACUGACGCUGAGACGCGAAAGCGUGGGGAGCAAACAGGAUUAGAUACCCCUGUAGU
rnacentral:rRNA from 1 species